rfam:Proteiniclasticum ruminis strain ML2 genome assembly, contig: Ga0073291_127
GAAAUCUUUAACAAGGUCCAGAGAGGCCAAGAAGAUGGUAAGCAUGAAUCAAAGAAUACGUAGGCUUAUUAUACCUCUUGUCUGUUUGGACAAGAGGUUUUUUUAU